ensembl:lncRNA
GUACUAUAGCGUACUUUUUAAGCUCAUAAAAACAAAAAAAUAAGGUUAAAAACUCUGUGUACCUGUCAGAGAGGGUUCAAAAUAAAACCCUUUAGGAACGCUAAAUAAACUUGAGGAACCGUGUGCGUAAACUUUUCAGCAGACUUGACAGACUUUCUUAUAAAAUCCAAUAUAGUAAAUAAUUUGUAAUAUAAUUACAGGAGUAUAAAAUUUGUUCAAUUCUUUAUAGACCUACAAAAACUCCCAACAACAACAGAUGUGUAGCACAUAGACUUUGUGGUGGUCUCCUAACCUGUGUCCGGCGCACGAAACACGGAUGUGGUGAGGUUCAGUUUGAAACAGGAAGUAGCACUUCUCGCCCUGUACUUUUUUUUUAUCAGACCUUGAGACCUGAGACUGGAAGCAAUUGCAAUGGGCACACACUGACACGCUGUUUAAGAAGGAGUCUCCAGUGUCAGCACUUUUGAACAGUCAGUAAGUUUUCCUCCACUGGAAAGUCUUGAGAGCAGAGGGCUUUGUGCUUUCUGGUUUCUUUGUAACAUGACAAGCUGUGGUUUUCUUGUCAAAUAACUUCGAGAGGGAAAAAAAGGCUGUUAUGAUUGAGGUCACAAGCCUGCAAGGUGCUGUCCUUGCCUUCCUGUCUGUCUCCACCGUGAGCUUCAUCUGUGCUCUCUGCAUACGCUGUAGGAAGAAAACUAUGAUUGUACAGGAGAGUAACCAACUCUAUGUUCCACAAAUAUUGUAAGAUGUCUGAGAUUAUUUUUUUCUGGUGAAUUUAUUACAGCAUUGUGCCAUUGCCAUUUCUUUGUUAACACACAAUAGUCAUCUCUCUUACUCAGGAUGAACUCGUGUUAACACAUCUGGUGUUAAGCAUGUAAUUGCAUGUCCAUCACAACCUUGAGACAGCUUUCUGAUCCAGCCAUGAGAAUGCUUUCAAUACGUUGAAAAGUUCUGGAAGUCAUUUAGAUAGAAAGUGUUCAUUUCCCCUAUGUAUGGAGACUUUGGGGACACAAUGUAUUAUAGUCUUUAAUAAAUAAUUGAUCUUUUUUGUUCUCAUUUAAAUGCUAUAUGUGUAAAUGAUAGAGCAAGAUAAAGGUUUAUAUUGUUUUAUUCUGGCUUUAUCCAGUCACCGAGGGGGGAGCAAAUUUGCUGUGACAAGGUCAAAAACAGUGACGAGAACUAACCAGAUGAGCACAAAUCCGUGUCAGAGUUCGGGGGAAAUAACUGUCGCACACACACCUAAGAGCCAGCUGGAGACAGCUGUCCAGGACCAGGGGGGCAGUUACGAGAACAUUAAACAAUCAAUUCAUGGUAGUAUGGAACCCACCUAUGUAGAUCCAAUAUCAACACCGCCACACAAUAACAAUGUUUUACAUGAUGAUGACAUCGGAGACUACGCAAAUAUUUUUCCAACGCAAGAUGUUCAACAUGACUCAGACAGUUACGAUUAUGAAAACACAGAAUUCCUGCAAAACAGCAAACCUGACGACGAUGAUGAGCCAGAUUACGUCAACGCAGACACGGCUAACAACUAACACAUAAAUAAAGUUUUACACUGUUAUCCAAGUUAGAUUAAAUAAGUAUUAGAAUAUAUUGGCAUAUUUAAUAGCACAGAAGCAAUGUAGUAUCAAUGAAUUGAAUGCUUCAUGGUUUGCAUGUUGGUCUUAUUUGAACUUUUAGUAUAACUUUUAGAUCCAUGUAAUAAAGGCACGUCAUUGUGUGUGAAGAGUAAGCAAAUUUCUUUUUAUGGAAUGAGAAACAGUAUAAUCGAUGUUUUAAGUGCCACUACAUUGAAAAUAAAAUCUUCCUGAUUUUGGUUUGAGUAGUAAUGACCAUUUCCUAAUAUUUCUCUUUAUAUUACUUUAUAAUAUUUAAUUAUAUGUAUAUUAUUUUAAUAUUCUAUUAUAUGAUGUGAUGCACUCAUGAUAUUUUGUGUUCAUUAUCAUAUCUGGAUAUCUGUAGUUUUCCUGCAAAUAAAAUUCCCCAAGUAUGGAACUUGAUUUACAUCAUUAUUACUGUUUAUCAUCUCAGCAACUAUAAUGAACUUAUGUUUGGAUUUUAAAAUAAAUGCUGCAACAUGGUGACCUAUGCUGCACAUUUCUACCAUCGCAACUUAAUACACAUUUUAGACGGUUUUGUCAAUUCUUGCUUGUAGAUGUAAAUGUAAAGAUUAUGGCAGCACUUGUUACAACACGUUUGUCCUUUAAUUAGAAUAAAAUCC